rfam:Streptomyces sparsogenes DSM 40356 contig00089, whole genome shotgun sequence.
UGAAUCCGCGCGGGAGAGUCCUCGGCCACCGGCAGCAGUGCCGGCCGUCCGGGGCGCCGAAGGAGCAAGUCCUCCCUUGAAUCUCUCAGGCCCCGAUACCGCGCGGGCGAG